CUCACCCAGGCCCGAAACAGUGGGGUCAAGGGGCCAUAGACUAAAACCUCUACCACCCUGAGCCAAAAUAGGCAUUUUUCUCCUUUGACUUUCUGGGGGUAUUUUGCCACAACGGUGUAAAGAUGACUAACAUAGCAUAGUUUGGUCUGAAGCAACAGAAGGUCAGUUUAAGCAAGCUCAGACAAAAGAUGUCUCACUUAAACAUGAAAAAAACAAAACAAAAAAAAAACUAACGGCAGCUGGGUCACAGAUGCAGAGGAGACCAAGGACUCCAUUGCCUCUGCCCGACCAUCUCACUGGCCUCCCAGCUUCCCCCAUGCCAGGCCACAGCUUCUAACUCACACCCCUACCUGGAGAUGGGUCCCAACAUGAAAACUCAAAAGGGAAGAACUCUGGCUGGUUACCUCUGGUCAGGUGCCCACCCAUGAGCUAGACAGAAGCAGCCGCGUGUCGUGAGCGUAUGAUGUCACAUAUCCCAGCCUGGGUUCUGCUCCUGGAUGUCUGAGCCUCCCCAGAGGGAAGGGCAGACGCUGUAAUCCAGACAUCCGGCCAUCAGAAUCCCUGCUGUUCAGAGCCUUCUCACCCUGAUUGCCAUGUGACCUCUUCAAGUGCUUUCAUAAUGCUCAGAGGUUCUCGAUAUUCGCAAACGAAAACAACAAUCCCCACCCCCUCCCUCCCCUCCCCGCUGAGCUCUCAGCAUUAUGUGGGGAAACAGAAGAAAUGGACCAACCAAACUCUCAAGCUCCGGGUCACUCCUACUUAUCUCCAGUCUCCAGGUGGCAGCCUCACUUCCGUUGCAGUAUUGACCCAGAGAUGAGCCUACCUCUGCUCUUCUUGCUCCCAGACAGUCGUCCCGGAGAACAAACUUGCCAGGUUGGUUGCGUAAUGGCCUGCAGGAGGAAAUAUCAGGGCUACAAACACACCCUGCGCAAAGCUCAAGCCCCUGAACUCCCAUGCCACUAGGCCGUCCCCUUGUGAGCCCAAAGGCUGGGCCUCUCUGUAUAGAAAGAGAAGUUUGCCUGUGGAAAGCCGCCCAUCUCUCCUGCAGAGGCACCGCUACCCACCUGUCCUGGAGGAAGUCCGGAAGUCCGGUCUCCUCCACACGCUGCACUUUCAUUGGCUUGGGCUGGACCUUGUGAAAGGUUUGGGCUCCACCUUUAUUUCUGCUUCCCACCAGCAGGGGGCAGCCACGGACGUUACUGUUGGGUCUUGAACUGAAAAUAAAUGAAGGCAACCGUUCUCCUUGCGGCUCAGGGAGGCUCUGCUGGCCAGCCAAGGACUGGUACCUCUGCGACCGGACCCACCGGACGCCAAGGUCAGGAACGGACCCAUCACUCACACCAUGCUUAAGAACUGCCCACACCCAAGCCCCUCACUUUCGUAGCACUGAGGAAUGGAAAAGUUACUAAGACACCCACUCUGCUCCCUGAACUUAUUAUGUCAUCAAGGAUGACUCUGAACUUCUGACCUUCCUGCCUCUAUCUGGGAUGGUGUUGGACCAGGUGAUCCUAAUCCACAGGCAUGGAGACCUUGGCUUUUUUUCUCACCUACAUGGCCAGUGGUCCUUGUGACCUUGGCCUCUUGUCUCUACGAAUAGAUGGUUGCUUACAUCGAAGGAACUCUUGAGGACAGCCCAUCUUUGUAGUCCCUUGAUGAAAAUAGUGCUUGGUGGUGAUGGACUCUAGGUCAAGGAAUGGGUGGCAACUGAGUUUCACUGGCUUCCAGAACAAGGCAGCAUAUGAGUGAGGAUACAGGCCACCUAGUGGCUGUUGACGGCCACCUUGUGUGGUGAGAUCUCCAAAUCCUGGAAAGAAGUUGACAAUCUGGACUUUUUUCUCCCCCCCCCUUACAACUCUCUCAUUUACAAAUGACAGAAUUUAUUUAAAAUUCUAUUUUGAAAUGGUGCAUGAGUCUAACAACAAUUCUACUUCCCAGGCUGUCUUUGGUGUGGUGUCACUGCCCCCACCCACCCACCUGAGUUCCCCAGUCUUUUUAGAAUCAGAGCUUUUUGGGGGGGUUACUAAGUCUCUCAGAGACCUCCACCUCAAAAUUGAAAAAGAAUGUUAGCAAUAAACAUUUUAACCUACCAACGCCGUAGAGAAAAGACUUUUGUAACAUUUUCCAUGCUCCACCAUA